UGGCUCAGGACGAACGCUGGCGGCGUGCCUAACACAUGCAAGUCGAGCGAAUGAAGUUCCUUCGGGAACGGAUUUAGCGGCGGACGGGUGAGUAACACGUGGGCAACCUGCCUCAUAGAGGGGAAUAGCCUUCCGAAAGGGAGAUUAAUACCGCAUAAGAUUGUAGUACCGCAUGGUACAGCAAUUAAAGGAGCAAUCUGCUAUGAGAUGGGCCCGCGGCGCAUUAGCUAGUUGGUGAGGUAACGGCUCACCAAGGCGACGAUGCGUAGCCGACCUGAGAGGGUGAUCGGCCACAUUGGGACUGAGACACGGCCCAGACUCCUACGGGAGGCAGCAGUGGGGAAUAUUGCACAAUGGGGGAAACCCUGAUACAGCAACGCCGCGUGAGUGAUGACGGCCUUCGGGUAGUAAAGCUCUGUCUUCAGGGACGAUAAUGACGGUACCUGAGGAGGAAGCCACGGCUAACUACGUG
rnacentral:rRNA from 1 species